rnacentral:rRNA from 1 species
GUAAGGAAUAUUGGGCAAUGGACGCAAGUCUGACCCAGCCAUGCCGCGUGAAGGAUGAAUGUCCUAUGGAUUGUAAACUUCUUUUAUGCAGGAAAAAUAUCCCGGUCGUGAACCGGGACUGAUGGUACUGUAUGAAUAAGCAUCGGCUAACUCCGUGCCAGCAGCCGCGGUAAUACGGAGGAUGCAAGCGUUAUCCGGAUUCAUUGGGUUUAAAGGGUGCGCAGGCGGAAUGAUAAGUCAGUGGUGAAAUCUCCCAGCUUAACUGGGAAACUGCCAUUGAUACUGUCGUUCUUGAGUACAGUUGAAGUGGGCGGAAUGUGUCAUGUAGCGGUGAAAUGCUUAGAUAUGACACAGAACACCGAUAGCGAAGGCAGCUCACUAAGCUGUAACUGACGCUCAUGCACGAAAGCGUGGGGAUCAAACAGGAUUAGAUACCCCAGUAGUCC